GACGAACGCUGGCGGCGUGCUUAACACAUGCAAGUCGAACGCUGAAGCCCUUUCGGGGGUGGAUGAGUGGCGAACGGGUGAGUAACACGUGGGUAAUCUGCCCUGUACUUCGGGAUAAGCCUUGGAAACGGGGUCUAAUACCGGAUAGGACCUGUCCUCGCAUGGGGGUGGGUGGAAAGUUCCGGCGGUAUGGGAUGAGCCCGCGGCCUAUCAGCUUGUGGGUGGGGUAGUGGCCUACCAAGGCGACGACGGGUAGCCGGCCCGAGAGGGUGACCGGUCACACUGGGACUGAGACACGGCCCAGACUCCUACGGGAGGCAGCAGUGGGGAAUCUUGCGCAAUGGGCGAAAGCCUGACGCAGCAACGCCGCGUGGGGGAUGACGGCCUUCGGGUUGUAAACCUCUUUCGACAUCGACGAAGGGGCCCUGUUGUGGGGUUUUGACGGUAGGUGUAGAAGAAGCACCGGCUAACUACGUGCCAGCAGCCGCCGUAA
rnacentral:rRNA from 1 species